CAUAGCUUCUCAAAGAUCCUAAUUCCCAGGGUAUAGUUUAUAUAUUAAUAGAUGAUCUUUUUAUAUAACUUUAGAUAGUUCAUGAUUGCAUGGCAAAAUUUAUCUAUCUACAUAAGAAUGCAAGGAUUUGUAUUAUAACGCAAGUAUAUUGAAAAGAGAAAUUAUUAUAGGCUUAAAUUUGAAAAUUACUUUAUUGCCAUUUCAGUAUUAUGAUUAUGCAAGUUUCUAUUAAUCUCCUAAUUUUACUGUUGAAUAAGCUGAGACACUAAGAGGCUAAGUUACUUUUCCAAAUUUAUAAACUGAAUUGGUAGCAAAACUGGAAUUACUUACGGAGUCCCCACUCCAUUACUUCGUUCACUGAAUCACUUUGCGUUUCUGCUUUGUGUGUGAGGAUUGUUUUACAUUAAUUAAAGAGCCUGACAAUAAACACUCAUUUACUCAUUUUUGCUUUUUAUAAUGAAAAAUGUUCAACUAAAUGAAAAAAAAGUCUUUACUUUGGCAUUCACAUUAGCCUAAAACAGCUGAACUGGAUUUUUGUCAAACUUGGCAAGUACUGAAGUCUGACAGAGAGUAAACUCAUGCCAAGUUCCGUUUGAAAUUAAAUGUUCUGCCAAAGUUAUAAGCUACUGAAAAUUGGGACUUCACAUUAAUCUGUGAUUUCAAUAUACUAUACCAAUGUCUCAUAAAAUUUCUUAUUCUAAUAAGUAAUGUUGAUGUUAUUAUAAAACUUAUGUGGUAUGCUACGUGCUGGACUUCCCAGAAAAAGUGACUCUGAAGUUUAAUUCUUUGGAGAUUCAUUAGAUAUUCUAUUUAUAUAUUAUGUUUUUUAUUGUUUCUUUCUUUAUAUGCAGCUUUUUUCAUCUUUGUUUUGACCCCAUUUCGAUGUUUAAAUCCAGUUUUACUAGUAUUUUUGCUUUCAUUUCAUUUUUAGGUGAAAUACUUUAGAAAUAUCUAGGUGUUCUCUCUUUUAAGCAACUCCAUAUAUGGAUGAAUUUAUGGCAUAUGUCUUGCUGUCCACUAAAGGCAAAAUUGUUAACUAAAGUCUCCUACUCCUGACUGCUUUCUUCUCCUUUUCUUCUAUUUACCAGAGGAAGGAGCAUAUUUCCACUUGAAACUACCCUUAGAAUUGAAGAAGAGCUAAUUAAGUAUGUGUAAUGUAUCUGCCAAGAAUUUUAAAACCAGAAUAUACUACUUUUAGAUUUUUGGAAAAAUUAAAAGCCCAACAGACUGAACAAAGACAUGUAUACUCAAGGAUGCCUCCUUCUAUGUCUGCCCUAGGUGCCGAAUUCCCUUCCCUGGCCACAGGAUAUUUUGUGCAAGAUCUGGAAGGCAGAUCUUAAAUUCUGAAUACUGCUGCAGAUCACCAGGUACUGUGGAAGCUUAUUUACCUCAUUACUGACCUACUAACUCAUUUCAAUAGAGUGGAGCACCAGAGGACCAUCCUGUUUCUUCAAGUUUUGGGCCAAGUUUAGUGUAGCAAUAUGGCCAAGGGUGCCUCCUUCUCCUACAGCCAUCAUGGCAUCAUGAUUGUAUCUAGUGACAGACGAACACAAAUUCCACUCUGUCCUUAUGGAUUCCAGUAGUCACCUUCUCAUGGAUUCCAAUCUGUGCAGGUCUCAGUUUUUCCACUUUGUUUCCCAACUACUAAUCUGGCCAAGCUAGAGACAGAACAACAGACAAUACCUACAUAGGUUGAUCUACCCAUUCACAAUGGUUUGAGGUCCAACUCCUAUAAUGUAUCAGCAUUCUAGAUCACUUGUACUAUGUUUGCUUCUCUGAUAGAACUCUGACUAAUACAUAGUCCUCAUCAGAUUACUGGGGGUGGCUUAGACAAGAUUUGUGUGGAAAUGUCUAUCCUGAGACAUCUUCUUCAUACCUCUUCCUGGUUCUGCAUUUUUUCCCUCUAGAUACCUAAGCUUGCCAAUGAUCCAUGUUUCAUGUUACAGUAGGAGACAAUCAGUAAUGAAUUAUCACUUUUUUUGUCAGAACUGUAUAAAAAUAAAUAGCAUUCCAUGUACUUUUACUGUCUAUAGUUGGUUUAUUAAAAUAUUUAUUUAAAUUCAAUUAGCUUCUGCUUCUGAGUGUCUUCUGAAGUUCUACAGUUAACUUAUCUUAGAGUUUUAUAAAGAAAAAAAGUAUCAUUUAGGAAUAAUAUAAGCCCCAGAUAGAAUAAACUAUAUAAUAUUUACUUAUGAGCCGAUGUAUCUUUACCAAGCUACAAAUAAUAGGUGAGCAAUCCAGCAAGUAAAAAUUAUGUAACUUUCAGGCAAUGUUUUUCCCAAGAAAACAUUAGGAAGAGCUUUUCUUCUCUCUUUUUCCCUUAGCCAGUAUGGCUGCAGAAAUAAAGAGAAAACUUGUCUGUCACCUUGUAACAGAUGCUGCCUGGUUAGAGUAUUAUAUGUAAUCUGAUUCUUGCCCUUGGUUAGCAGGCAGCAAUGACACAGUCCACUCCUAGAAACUGAGUUCUUUACUGACUUGACUUUGAUGUAUCUAAAUCUGAUUUUAGUUUCUCUACUAGCAGGAUACUCUUCUCCCUCUAAAAUUCCCCUUCAGCUAAUAACAACAGAUUUUUCAUUACUGUUUGAAUAUUCCUUGAAUUUUUGUAUAUGGGAGUUUAAUAUAUUUGAACUGUUAAUUGUUGUUGUUUUUUCAGAUUUUUUUCCCUGCACAUAUACACUUUCAUUCUAGCCAGGCUCUUUGGUAGUCACUGCUCUAGGAAAACUAUGUCACGGCAACAGAAAGCAAUGAAAAGGGAAUUUUCUAAUUAGCUUUUAGUUUCAAAAGAUGAGACAAAAAACAAAAACAAACUAGAUAUUUCAUUGGAUACCAGCAAGGACAAAUAAAGAAUCAGAUGUUCCAAUUUCCCUAUGAUGUCUUAGAAAUGAACAAUCUCUUGAGUUUGGACCCACCUUGAAGGAGGUAGGAGAUGGAAAAUAAAUAUGGACAACAUAGGAUAAUUUCUGUCAUAGGGACUUGGAAUCCCCAUUCAUAUUAGAGUAGUCACACUGCUAAUAAGAAGCUAUCAGGGAACUGAUUACUGGCAGAAAAAAGUAGAGCGUAUGAAAGGUGUAUGAAAAUUUGCUUGUCAUAUCAAUGAAGUUUUGGGUGUGGGGGGGGUUUGUGGGAUAUGUGUGAUAUUCCUUGGACACUCCCUGCUACCCCCAAACAAAAAAGGACAAAAAACAAAUGGUUAUACUGAUAAGAGUCUCUACCAGUUUACCACAAAAAGGCAAUCCCUUCAACAGUCUGAAGUCCAGGAACUCUCUAAGGUCUUCAAGUUAAUGCUUUAAAGGGAAAAACAACCUUAGCUUGACAAUUAGCUAGGCCUCCAGUAAGUCUUUAGCAUGUGAAAGUCUCUUUGGAAACUCCCUCUUGACUUUGUCUCCCCAGACGCCAUAAAAGGGUCAC